rnacentral:rRNA from 1 species
AGCUAGUUGGUGGGGUAAAGGCCUACCAAGGCGACGAUCAGUAGCUGGUCUGAGAGGAUGAUCAGCCACACUGGGACUGAGACACGGCCCAGACUCCUACGGGAGGCAGCAGUGGGGAAUUUUCCGCAAUGGGCGAAAGCCUGACGGAGCAACGCCGCGUGAGGGAUGAAGGCCUCUGGGCUGUAAACCUCUUUUCUCAAGGAAGAAAAUCUGACGGUACUUGAGGAAUAAGCCACGGCUAAUUCCGUGCCAGCAGCCGCGGUAAUACGGGAGUGGCAAGCGUUAUCCGGAAUUAUUGGGCGUAAAGCGUCCGCAGGCGGCCUUGUAAGUCUGUCGUUAAAGCGUGGAGCUUAACUCCAUUUCAGCGAUGGAAACUACAAGGCUUGAGUGUGGUAGGGGCAGAGGGAAUUCCCGGUGUAGCGGUGAAAUGCGUAGAUAUCGGGAAGAACACCAGUGGCGAAGGCGCUCUGCUGGGCCAUAACUGACGCUCAUGGACGAAAGCCAGGGGAGCGAAAGGGAUUAGAUACCCCUGUAGUCCUGGCCGUAAACGAUGAACACUAGGCGUCGGGGGAAUCGACCCCCUCGGUGUCGUAGCCAACGCGUUAAGUGUUCCGCCUGGGGAGUACGCACGCAAGUGUGAAACUCAAAGGAAUUGACGGGGGCCCGCACAAGCGGUGGAGUAUGUGGUUUAAUUCGAUGCAACGCGAAGAACCUUACCAGGGUUUGACAUCCUGCGAAUCUCUUGGAAACGAGAGAGUGCCUUCGGGAACGCAGUGACAGGUGCAUGGCUGUCGUCAGCUCGUGUCGUGAGAUGUUGAGUUAAGUCCCGCAACGAGCGCAACCCACGUCUUUAGUUGCCAGCAUUUAGUUGGGCACUCUAGAGAGACCGCCGGUGAUAAACCGGAGGAAGGUGUGGAUGACGUCAAGUCAUCAUGCCCCUUACAUCCUGGGCUACACACGUACUACAAUGCUACGGACAAAGGGCAGCAAACUCGCGAGAGCAAGCAAAUCCCAUAAACCGUGGCUCAGUUCAGAUCGUAGGCUGCAACUCGCCUACGUGAAGGAGGAAUCGCUAGUAAUCGCAGGUCAGCAUACUGCGGUGAAUACGUUCCCGGGCCUUGUACACACCGCCCGUCACACCAUGGAAGUUAGCCACGCCCGAAGUCGUUACUCCAACCCUUGUGGAGGAGGACCCCGAAGGUGGGGCUGAUGACUGGGGUGAAGUCGUAACAAGGUAGCCGUACCGGAAGGUGCGGCUG